GCUCAAAUUUGAAAUCUCCUUGGCCCAGCUCCAAGGCGAAUUGUAGUUUAAAGAAGCGCCUUCCACCAGGCCGCAUUGGUUCAAGUUCCUUGGAACAGGACAUCAUAGAGGGUGAGAAUCCCGUGAUUGAUCAAUGCUUGCGCCUGGGUUGCGAUGCGCUCUCCAAGAGUCGGUUUGUUUGGGAAUGCAGACCAAAAUGGGUGGUAAAUACCAUCUAAAGCUAAAUAUGGGCGAGAGACCGAUAGCGAACAAGUACCGUGAGGGAAAGAUGAAAAGAACUUUGAAAAGAGAGUUAAAUAGUACGUGAAAUUGUCAAAAGGGAAGCGCUUGAAACCAGUCAUGCCUCCGCGUCAAUCAGCCAGGGCCCUGCCCUGGUGCACUUGGCGUGCUUGAGGCAAGUCAACAUCAGUUUGGGAGGUGGCAGACGGGGAUUGGGGGAAUGUAGCUAAAGGCCCUAGGUCUUUGGUGUUAUAGCCCGGUGAUCCACCCACCAUCAACCAGACUGAGGACUGCAGCGAUUCAGGGGGGGCACGGUCGUCUUGGUCCCUUGGGCCGGCUAAACAACCUAGUUGAUUACCGACCAAGCGGGCCUGGUCCGGCUUGUCCCACCACUUGUACGCUUGGGAUGUUGACGAAAUGGUUUUAAACGACCCGUCUUGAAACACGGACCAAGGAGUCUAGCAAGUCUGCGAGUAUUUGGGUGUGUUAAACCCUUGUGCGCAAUGAAAGUGAACUCUUGGUGGGAUGGCGUGGCCCGCCUGGCCGCGCUUGCACCAUCGACCGGUCAGGAUUCUUUGAUGAUAGAUCUGAGUAGGAGCAUACUUGCUGGGACCCGAAAGAUGGUGAACUAUGCCUG
rnacentral:rRNA from 1 species